CCGAGCGCAGUGCCUCAUCACCUCGACUGAGACCAACACACCGACGACCAUGAAGUCUGCGGCGAGCGUCCUACUGCUGGCUGUCGCCUUUUUGUGCCUCGCAGCGACCUCCAAAGGGGCUCCAAACCCACAAAAGCCUAACUGCGCCAGUACUCUCUGCCCGCUUGUACAUUGGACUACACACCAGUCUGCGGGACCGACGGCGUCACCUACGGAAAUGAAUGCAUGCUGUGCAGCCAAAACCAACGUGAACCUGUCUUGAUUGCCAAAUAUGAGGCCUGCUGAUUCCAGAAGACAGAAGAAAUGAAUCAACAUCCCACAGUUUUAUGGAUGAUUUGAUUUUCUGUUAUUUUAAAAUCACAAAUAUGAAAUAAAAGCAAAUUUCAUCAUUAA